rnacentral:rRNA from 1 species
UAGCUAGUUGGUGAGGUAACGGCUUACCAAGGCGACGAUCUGUAGCGGGUCUGAGAGGAUGAUCCGCCACACUGGAACUGAGACACGGUCCAGACUCCUACGGGAGGCAGCAGUGGGGAAUUUUGGACAAUGGGGGCAACCCUGAUCCAGCCAUGCCGCGUGAGUGAAGAAGGCCUUCGGGUUGUAAAGCUCUUUCGGCCGGGAAGAAAUCGCAUGGGCCAAUACCCUGUGUGGAUGACGGUACCGGAAUAAGAAGCACCGGCUAACUACGUGCCAGCAGCCGCGGUAAUACGUAGGGUGCGAGCGUUAAUCGGAAUUACUGGGCGUAAAGCGUGCGCAGGCGGUUUUGUAAGACAGGCGUGAAAUCCCCGGGCUCAACCUGGGAACUGCGUUUGUGACUGCAAGGCUAGAGUACGGCAGAGGGGGGUGGAAUUCCACGUGUAGCAGUGAAAUGCGUAGAGAUGUGGAGGAACACCAAUGGCGAAGGCAGCCCCCUGGGUCGAUACUGACGCUCAUGCACGAAAGCGUGGGUAGCAAACAGGAUUAGAUACCCUGGUAGUCCACGCCCUAAACUAUGUCAACUAGGUGUUGGGUGGGUAAAACCAUUUAGUACCGUAGCUAACGCGUGAAGUUGACCGCCUGGGGAGUACGGCCGCAAGGUUAAAACUCAAAGGAAUUGACGGGGACCCGCACAAGCGGUGGAUGAUGUGGAUUAAUUCGAUGCAACGCGAAAAACCUUACCUACCCUUGACAUGCCAGGAACUUGCCAGAGAUGGCUUGGUGCCCGAAAGGGAGCCUGGACACAGGUGCUGCAUGGCUGUCGUCAGCUCGCGUCGUGAGAUGUUGGGUUAAGUCCCGCAACGAGCGCAACCCUUGUCGUUAAUUGCCAUCAUUUAGUUGGGCGCUUUAGCGAGACUGCCGGUGACAAACCGGAGGAAGGUGGGGAUGACGUCAAGUCCUCAUGGCCCUUAUGGGUAGGGCUUCACACGUCAUACAAUGGUCGGUACAGAGGGUCGCCAAGCCGCGAGGUGGAGCCAAUCCCAGAAAGCCGAUCGUAGUCCGGAUUGCAGGCUGCAACUCGCCUGCAUGAAGUCGGAAUCGCUAGUAAUCGUGGAUCAGCAUGUCACGGUGAAUACGUUCCCGGGUCUUGUACACACCGCCCGUCACACCAUGGGAGCGGGUUCCGCCAGAAGUAGGUAGCCUAACCGCAAGGAGGGCGCUUACCACGGCGGGGUUCGUGACUGGGGUGAAGUCGAAACAAGGUAGCCGUAGGGGAACCUGCGGCUG